rnacentral:rRNA from 1 species
AUGUAUGCUAUAAAAUGUAAUGAUAACCAUGAAACUUUUCAUCAUGAUUUUAAUGUUCAAUUGGGUUUGCUUCAGAACAAAACCCUGCAAUCAAAUAGAUUGUUCCAAGGGCGCCAUAUUCUAGGAGCCCAAGUUAUGCUAUUAAAAAUUCAUUCCUCUAGCAAUUCCAGUUUUAGCAUUUUGUUCCCUUUUUCAAACUCCACUUCUUUUCAUAUAGCAUCCUUGAUCAAAGAGAGAAUAAUAUCCAUUUCAAAAUAUUUCUAACAGAUUCCUUACUUCGGACCGAUGAUCAAUCAAGUUUCAUAUGGUAGUUAUUUUGUCGAGUUUGCUCCCACUAUUAUGCAUGGGAAGAAAUUCUCUUAUGUGGAGAGUAAUAAAAUUUCUAUGUUUAUGGAUCAUGAAACGAAUGCUUUAUGUGAUAGUUAUAUUGUUGAAUUCAUUCAUGGUGCUACUAAAAAUUAUUAUGAGAGAGGUGAAGGAAAUAUGCCCUAG